UUAAGCGACUAAGCGUACACGGUGGAUGCCUAGGCAGUCAGAGGCGAUGAAGGGCGUGCUAAUCUGCGAAAAGCGUCGGUAAGCUGAUAUGAAGCGUUACAACCGACGAUACCCGAAUGGGGAAACCCAGUGCAAUUCGUUGCACUAUUGCAUGGUGAAUACAUAGCCAUGCAAGGCGAACCGGGGGAACUGAAACAUCUAAGUACCCCGAGGAAAAGAAAUCAACCGAGAUUCCCCCAGUAGCGGCGAGCGAACGGGGAAGAGCCCAGAGUCUGAAUCAGUUUAUGUGUUAGUGGAAGCGUCUGGAAAGUCGCACGGUACAGGGUGAUAGUCCCGUACACAAAAAUGCAUAUUCUGUGAACUCGAUGAGUAGGGCGGGACACGUGACAUCCUGUCUGAAUAUGGGGGGACCAUCCUCCAAGGCUAAAUACUCCUGACUGACCGAUAGUGAACCAGUACCGUGAGGGAAAGGCGAAAAGAACCCCGGCGAGGGGAGUGAAAUAGAACCUGAAACCGUGUACGUACAAGCAGUGGGAGCACCUUCGUGGUGUGACUGCGUACCUUUUGUAUAAUGGGUCAGCGACUUAUAUUUUGUAGCAAGGUUAACCGAAUAGGGGAGCCGUAGGGAAACCGAGUCUUAACUGGGCGUCUAGUUGCAAGGUAUAGACCCGAAACCCGGUGAUCUAGCCAUGGGCAGGUUGAAGGUUGGGUAACACUAACUGGAGGACCGAACCGACUAAUGUUGAAAAAUUAGCGGAUGACUUGUGGCUGGGGGUGAAAGGCCAAUCAAACCGGGAGAUAGCUGGUUCUCCCCGAAAGCUAUUUAGGUAGCGCCUCGUGAACUCAUCUUCGGGGGUAGAGCACUGUUUCGGCUAGGGGGUCAUCCCGACUUACCAAACCGAUGCAAACUCCGAAUACCGAAGAAUGUUAUCACGGGAGACACACGGCGGGUGCUAACGUCCGUCGUGAAGAGGGAAACAACCCAGACCGCCAGCUAAGGUCCCAAAGUCAUGGUUAAGUGGGAAACGAUGUGGGAAGGCACAGACAGCCAGGAUGUUGGCUUAGAAGCAGCCAUCAUUUAAAGAAAGCGUAAUAGCUCACUGGUCGAGUCGGCCUGCGCGGAAGAUGUAACGGGGCUAAACCAUGCACCGAAGCUGCGGCAGCGACACUUAGGUGUUGUUGGGUAGGGGAGCGUUCUGUAAGCCGUUGAAGGUGACCUGUGAGGGUUGCUGGAGGUAUCAGAAGUGCGAAUGCUGACAUAAGUAACGAUAAUGCGGGUGAAAAACCCGCACGCCGGAAGACCAAGGGUUCCUGUCCAACGUUAAUCGGGGCAGGGUGAGUCGACCCCUAAGGCGAGGCUGAAAAGCGUAGUCGAUGGGAAACAGGUUAAUAUUCCUGUACUUGGUGUUACUGCGAAGGGGGGACGGAGAAGGCUAGGCUAGCCGGGCGACGGUUGUCCCGGUUUAAGCAUGUAGGCGGAGUGACCAGGUAAAUCCGGUUGCUUAUCAACGCUGAGGUGUGAUGACGAGCCACUACGGUGGUGAAGUAGUUGAUGCCAAGCUUCCAGGAAAAGCCUCUAAGCAUCAGGUAACAUUAAAUCGUACCCCAAACCGACACAGGUGGUCAGGUAGAGAAUACUCAGGCGCUUGAGAGAACUCGGGUGAAGGAACUAGGCAAAAUGGUGCCGUAACUUCGGGAGAAGGCACGCUGGCGGUAGGUGAAGAGACUUGCUCUCGGAGCUGAAGCCAGUCGCAGAUACCAGCUGGCUGCAACUGUUUAAUAAAAACACAGCACUGUGCAAACACGAAAGUGGACGUAUACGGUGUGACGCCUGCCCGGUGCUGGAAGGUUAAUUGAUGGGGUCAGCCGCAAGGCGAAGCUCUUGAUCGAAGCCCCAGUAAACGGCGGCCGUAACUAUAACGGUCCUAAGGUAGCGAAAUUCCUUGUCGGGUAAGUUCCGACCUGCACGAAUGGCGUAAUGAUGGCCAGGCUGUCUCCACCCGAGACUCAGUGAAAUUGAACUCGCUGUGAAGAUGCAGUGUACCCGCGGCAAGACGGAAAGACCCCGUGAACCUUUACUAUAGCUUGACACUGAACAUUGAGCCUUGAUGUGUAGGAUAGGUGGGAGGCAUUGAAGUGUGGACGCCAGUCUGCAUGGAGCCAACCUUGAAAUACCACCCUUUAAUGUUUGAUGUUCUAACUCGGCCCCAUAAUCUGGGGUGAGGACAGUGUCUGGUGGGUAGUUUGACUGGGGCGGUCUCCUCCCAAAGAGUAACGGAGGAGCACGAAGGUUAGCUAAUCACGGUCGGACAUCGUGAGGUUAGUGCAAAGGCAUAAGCUAGCUUGACUGCGAGAGUGACGGCUCGAGCAGGUACGAAAGUAGGUCUUAGUGAUCCGGUGGUUCUGAAUGGAAGGGCCAUCGCUCAACGGAUAAAAGGUACUCCGGGGAUAACAGGCUGAUACCGCCCAAGAGUUCAUAUCGACGGCGGUGUUUGGCACCUCGAUGUCGGCUCAUCACAUCCUGGGGCUGAAGUAGGUCCCAAGGGUAUGGCUGUUCGCCAUUUAAAGUGGUACGCGAGCUGGGUUUAGAACGUCGUGAGACAGUUCGGUCCCUAUCUGCCGUGGGCGUUGGAAGAUUGAGAGGGGCUGCUCCUAGUACGAGAGGACCGGAGUGGACGAAUCACUGGUGUUCGGGUUGUCAUGCCAAUGGCAUUGCCCGGUAGCUAAAUUCGGAAGAGAUAACCGCUGAAAGCAUCUAAGCGGGAAACUUGCCUCGAGAUGAGUCUUCCCUGGGGCUUUAAGCCCCCUGAAGGAACGUUAAAGACUAUGACGUUGAUAGGCUGGGUGUGUAAGUGCAGCGAUGCAUUGAGCUAACCAGUACUAAUGAUCCGUGAGGCUUAACCUU
rnacentral:rRNA from 1 species